rnacentral:rRNA from 1 species
AGAUUGAACGCUGGCGGCAUGCUUUACACAUGCAAGUCGAACGGUAACAGGCCGCAAGGUGCUGACGAGUGGCGAACGGGUGAGUAAUGCAUCGGAACGUGCCCGAGUCGUGGGGGA